GUUUUGACAUUUAUCUGAUGGAGUUGUCCUAAAUUAUACGUUUUUUUUUGUUAAGAUUUAAAUUAUAAAGAUGUAUAUUCAACAAGAAAUAGUUAAGACGCGAUGAACUGUCCGGUACAAGUAUGGAGAAUGCAGUUGCUACCGUCAAACGAUAAGAAAGACAAUUGUGAGUAUAAACGACGUAAAAUCAAGAAAGUGAAGAGCGGGAAAUUGUCGAGUGUGUGUAAAGCCGCGCCGAACCAUCUGUCAGAAUUUGCCGGCGCUUUAAUGGAUUAUUUCUGUGAAGUAGGCAAAUUGAUUUCUUGCGAACGGGAUACACAAGUUUAUGACACAUUAUUGGAAUUAUUACGUAUUGUAACAAUACUAGGACAGGACAUUUUUAUCAUUAUCAAAUGUUUUUGCCGCUGCUGUCAACGGCUGAUGAAUAAAAGAAAGGGUCUACAAAAUUGCUUAAAAAACUUAACAGCACAUUAUUUGCAUGAAAAUCGAGAAAACUGUUCUGUUGUGUCAAGUGAAGAUUUAUCGUAAUUUAUU